rnacentral:rRNA from 1 species
UACAGAGGUCUCAAGCGUUGUUCGGAUUCAUUGGGCGUAAAGGGUGCGUAGGCGGCGCGGUAAGUCGGGUGUGAAAUCUUGGAGCUUAACUCCGAAACUGCAUUCGAUACUGCCGUGCUUGAGGACUGGAGAGGAGACUGGAAUUUACGGUGUAGCGGUGAAAUGCGUAGAUAUCGUAAGGAAGACCAGUGGCGAAGGCGGGUCUCUGGACAGUUCCUGACGCUUAGGCACGAAGGUCAGGGGAGCAAACGGG